GGUCAUGUGGCCUAGUGGUCAUGGCAUCUGCCCGGUAAGCGGAAGGUCGUGGGUUCGAUUCCCAUUAUUUUAUCCA